GAGAGAGAGAGAGAGAGAGAGAGAGAGAGAGAGAGAGAGAGAGAGAGAGAGAGAGAGAGAGAGAGAGAGAGAGAGAGAGAGAGAGAGAGAGAGAGAGAGAGAGAGAGAGAGAGAGAGAGAGAGAGAGAGAGAGAGAGAGAGAGAGAGAGAGAGAGUUUGGAUCUCUGAGCUGGAUGGUUGCCCCUUGCCUUUGUUCUGGGUCCCGACAUGGAAGAACAGGCGUCAACACUAAACACUGAACACAGACUCACACUGAACUCAAACACAUCCCAGGGAGUUGUGCCAUUCUCUAAAUGUGUGUUAGAUGUGUAGAGACUUAACUUUUAACUUAAAAUAAACUGUUUUGGUUCAAACGGCACCCUAUUCCCUAGAUAGUGCACAAGAGCCCAUAGGGCCCUGGUCAAAAGUAGUGCACUAUAUAGGGCUCUGGUCUAAAGUAGUGCACUAUAUAGGGCUCUGGUCAAAAGUAGUGCACUAUAUAGGGCUCUGGUCUAAAGUAGUGCACUCUAUAGGGCUCUAGUCUAAAGUAGCGCACUACAUAGGGCUUUGGUCAAAAGUUGUGCACUAUAUAGGGCUCUGGUCUAAAGUAGUGCACUAUAUAGGGCUCUGGUCUAUAGUAGUGCACUACAUAGGGCUCUGGUCUAAAGUAGUGCACUACAUAGGGCUCUGGUCAAAAGUAGUGCACUAUAUAGGGCUCUGGUCUAAAGUAGUGCACUAUAUAGGGCUCUGGUCUAAAGUAGUGCACUAUAUAGGGCUCUGGUCUAAAGUAGUGCACUAUAUAGGGCUCUGGUCUAAAGUAAUGCACUACAUAGGGCUCUGGUCUAAAGUAGUGCACUAUAUAGGGAAUAGGGUGUAAUUUUGGAUGCGUGCUUGAUCUCUGGUAUACAACCCCCCUGUGUUUGAGGUCAAAUGUUAAACUAGAGCUUUUUGGAGCAGCGGGCCACCGUAGGCCCUGUGUUACCUGUACACAUAUGUUCUGGGGCUUUCAGAGGGCGUCCACACAUGUGGCUGAUACAGGUAUGCCAUCCUUUAUGAACAGGGACAACAACAACAUUACCCACAACAGUGAGACCAGAGAGAGAGAGGAGAGAGGAGACC
rnacentral:lncRNA from 13 species